rnacentral:rRNA from 1 species
UACGAAGGGGGCUAGCGUUGCUCGGAAUCACUGGGCGUAAAGCGCACGUAGGCGGACUCUUAAGUCAGGGGUGAAAUCCUGGAGCUCAACUCCAGAACUGCCUUUGAUACUGGGAAGCUUGAGUCCGGGAGAGGUGAGUGGAACUCCGAGUGUAGAGGUGAAAUUCGUAGAUAUUCGGAAGAACACCAGUGGCGAAGGCGGCUCACUGGCCCGGUACUGACGCUGAGGUGCGAAAGCGUGGGGAGCAAACAGG